CCUACGGGUGGCAGCAGUGAGGAAUAUUGGUCAAUGGGCGAGAGCCUGAACCAGCCAAGCCGCGUGAAGGAUGAAGGAUCUAUGGUUGGUAAACUUCUUUUAUAGGGGAAUAAAGUGAGGUACGUGUCCCUUUUUGUAUGUACCAUAUGAAUAAGCAUCGGCUAACUCCGUGCCAGCAGCCGCGGUAAUACGGAGGAUGCGAGCGUUAUCCGGAUUUAUUGGGUUUAAAGGGUGCGUAGGUGGUUAAAUAAGUCAGCGGUGAAAGUUUGUGGCUCAACCCUAGAAUUGCCGUUGAUACUGGUUGGCUUGAGUAUAGUUGAGGUAGGCGGAAUGCGUGGUGUAGCGGUGAAAUGCAUAGAUAUCACGCAGAACACCGAUUGCGAAGGCAGCUUACUAAACUAUAACUGACGCUGAGGCACGAAAGCGUGGGGAUCAAACAGGAUUAGAUACCCUUGUAGUC
rnacentral:rRNA from 1 species